GGGAGCUUGACAAAUCAAGAUGGCGUCCCACGCUGAAGCAGGAAAGAGAUUCCAGUUAAAAUAAAACUCUCCCGGAGCAUAGUUUACAUUUGAGUGCCACCUCGACAAGACGUCGUCUGCAUUUUGUAAAAAAAAAAGACGGGGCAGAUACAGUCUCUAAAUGGCUGCGAGGAAGUCUGGAUCAGAUGCAUACAACAAUGGACCCAUCAGCUACCUUGAUGAAGUUCCCUUCAAGAUCAAUGACAAAUUCCGCUGCCCGGCCAAAGUGGGCCUGCCUGUCGGUUUCUGUCUCCCAGACUGCAACUCUAUGCUGGCGAACUCACAGGUUAGUCAGGCACAGGAAAUAUCUUCAUUUUUGUGCUGCAGUGAAAUGCUUCGAGGCAUCUACAAAUCCACAUAUUUUUAUACUAAUCUACAGUAUUUGAUUUCACAUUAUAUUGUAUCCUAUUCCAUGUAAACAUGCACAUAUUCUACCUUUUCCUGCAUUAUUUGCACCAUUGUAUCCCUUGCGUUCUUUUUUUAUUGCAUUAUUUUACUUCCUUAUUUCUUAUGUAAUAUAUUGUGU